rnacentral:lncRNA from 1 species
CCAUAUUAAAUAGAAAAUUGUAAAGGUGAAAUGUUUGGAAAAAAUUUACUAUCAAAGGUAGGAACAGCAAAUCAAAUUACACAAAUUGCAAAAUCUACAUCCCAAAAAUAAUAAAAUACAGAUGAUUAGUAAUAUUAGGCACAUCCUUAAAAUCACUCAAAUAUAUAGAGGUAGUAAAGUAUCAUGAUGCCAUUGCUGAGACUUUUCUGCAGUCCUGGACUAUUAUAG